rnacentral:lncRNA from 1 species
CCUGGCUCGUCUGUACAAAAUUUGAUUCCCAAUUCUUUUGUGCGACACCUUCAGAAAAGGAAAAGGAAGAAACUGUCAAGAACAAUAAAAAUCUCUAGCCAGAUCCGUAAAUACUUGGGAAGGAAACCAAAUUUCGCGGUUUACCGGUGAUUUGUUGGUGCUAACUUUGUAACUCGAGAAUCACGAAAUAAAAUCCCCGCAUUCGUGUAAAACGCUUGGACGCGAGGUCGCUUAUACCAAAGCCCAUUGCAGUGCAUCGGGGAGAAAACGGCUGUGAGAAGGACAAAGCCCAAAAGCAAAAGAACAAAAUGCCAAUGGAGCAAAGCAAAGCUAUCAAACGUUUAAAGCACCUUCAUGUGUUCUUGUUCUUCGAUCCAGAUCCCCGAUGAAAAUCUUCGUGUUGAUCCUCUUCGCCACCUUGCUCUCGCUGCGCCAAUCCCAAGAGUUAGAAGGCGGUCACAAAGAACACAAAGAGCUCAUCACCUUUACCCCCGGGCAUUUUAAAAUUUUAUCUUUCCCGCCAUUCGCAUCGCGUGCCACUGCCCCGGCGGCUGCAAAUCCGCG